rnacentral:rRNA from 1 species
UACAGAGGUGGCAAGCGUUGUUCGGAAUUACUGGGCGUAAAGGGCGCGUAGGCGGUCUUGUAAGUCUCGUGUGAAAUCCCUCGGCUUAACUGAGGAACUGCACGGGAUACUGCUUGACUUGAGUUCGGGAGAGGGAAGCGGAAUUCCGGGUGUAGCGGUGAAAUGCGUAGAUAUCAGGAGGAACACCAAUGGCGAAGGCAGCUCGCUGGGACGGUACUGACGCUGAGACGCGAAAGCGUGGGGAGCAAACAGG